GUUCUAUCGGAGGACCAAUCCGCUUGUUCGACAGUUCCGAGUGAUCGGGCCUCUUGUCCGGCAGCCGGGAAAAACCAAUCGGAUUGUCCGACGCUUGCGAACAGCCAAUCGGCGAGUGGUACACAUAGCCGCCCCCACAACGAAUUCCAUCACAGUAUACCCGCCGACCGUCGCACAACGCAUCGGGUGAUCGAGUUUCUCGGUAACGUUUGACGUGAGAGGACAGUCCGUCGUUCGCCCCGGGCGAAAAUCUGUAGUCGUUAACGGCACGCGCACGUAUAUUAGGACGCGCCGGUGUUGCGUUUCGUGUCGCGGCGGUGCAAAUGCGCGCGCCAGGCGAGUACGAGCCAGUCCGCGAACAUCGGGCCAGUCAGUCAGUGGCAGGAAAAAAUGGCGGAUGUCGACUUGAAUAUCGACAAUCUGAUACAGAGAUUGCUGGAAGUAUACCACACGCAGAAAGACCAGGUUCAGAAGAAAGCCAAGCUAAAAGAUAUUUUCUCGUCGGACUUUGUCGUCAGAGGAUGUCGACCGGGCAAGACCGUUAUCAUGACGGAGGCCGAGGUGCGUGGCCUCUGUCUGAAGUCGCGGGAGAUUUUUCUGCAGCAGCCAAUCCUGCUGGAAUUGGAAGCGCCGCUUAAGAUCUGUGGAGACAUACAUGGCCAAUACACCGACCUGCUACGACUCUUCGAGUACGGCGGUUUUCCGCCCGAGGCGAAUUAUCUAUUCCUGGGUGAUUACGUCGACCGAGGGAAGCAAUCCUUAGAGACGAUAUGUCUGCUAUUGGCGUACAAAAUUAAGUAUCCAGAAAACUUCUUCCUGUUGCGCGGUAAUCACGAAUGCGCGAGUAUAAAUAGGAUAUACGGCUUUUACGACGAAUGCAAACGACGAUAUAACAUCAAGCUUUGGAAAACCUUUACGGACUGCUUUAACUGCUUGCCGAUUGCCGCGAUCAUUGAUGAGAAAAUUUUCUGUUGUCAUGGCGGGCUCAGUCCUGAUUUACAGGGAAUGGAGCAAAUCAGAAGAAUUAUGCGUCCGACUGAUGUACCUGAUACCGGUCUUCUAUGUGAUCUCUUAUGGUCUGAUCCUGAUAAAGAUGUUCAGGGUUGGGGCGAAAAUGAUAGAGGAGUCUCGUUUACAUUUGGUCCAGACGUCGUGUCGAAGUUCCUGAAUCGUCACGAUAUGGAUCUCAUAUGCAGGGCGCAUCAAGUGGUAGAAGAUGGCUAUGAAUUCUUCGCCAAGCGACAACUUGUCACACUUUUCUCAGCCCCAAACUACUGCGGCGAAUUUGACAAUGCUGGCGGAAUGAUGAGUGUUGACGAAACGUUGAUGUGUAGUUUUCAGAUCUUGAAACCAUCAGAGAAGAAGGCAAAAUAUCAAUAUGGAGGAAUGAACACGGGUCAAGCAGGUAGACCAUCUACACCACAAAGAAAUCCAGCUAAAAAGAAAUGACAACCUUCAACUGAACCUGCACAGCAACAAACGCGAUUAUCCUUAAUGGAGGCUAUCAUGCUAGCACGAAGACGUCGAGAUACAGAAAUAAUCUAAUCUGAUAAACGUAUACCUAAAAAAAUUAUAAAAUUUACUUUUUCCUUAAUUGCAUUUUAACAAGAAAUAUAAACGAUGUGUGGUGAAUCAA
rnacentral:misc_RNA from 1 species